rnacentral:rRNA from 1 species
UACAGAGGCCUCGAGCGUUGUUCGGAUUUACUGGGCGUAAAGGGAAUGUAGGCGGUAACGUAAGUCAGAUGUGAAAGCCCUAGGCUUAACCUGGGAACUGCAUUUGAUACUGUGUUGCUGGAGUGCGAGAGAGGAAAGUGGAAUUCCAGGUGUAGGGGUGAAAUCCGUAGAUAUCUGGAGGAAUACCAAUGGCGAAGGCAGCUUUCUGGCUCGUAACUGACGCUGAGAUUCGAAAGCGUGGGUAGCAAACAGG